rnacentral:rRNA from 1 species
GACAGAGGCCUCAAGCGUUUAGGCGGAAUCACUGGGCUUAAAGCGUGUGUAGGCGGACUUCUAAGUGCCUUGUGAAAUCCCACGGCUCAACCGUGGAACUGCUGGGCAUACUGGGAGUCUUGGGCCAUUCAGGGGCAACUGGAACAAGCGGUGGAGCGGUGAAAUGCGUAGAUAUCGCUUGGAACGCCGAAGGUGAAAACAGGUUGCUGGGGAUGUGCCGACGCUGAGACACGAAAGCCAGGGGAGCAAACGGG